CCUACGGGUGGCUGCAGUGGGGAAUAUUGGACAAUGGGGGGAACCCUGAUCCAGCCAUGCCGCGUGUGUGAAGAAGGCCCUCGGGUUAUAAAGCACUUUCAGUGAGGAAGAACGCCUGGUGGUUAAUACCCAUCAGGAAAGACAUCACUCACAGAAGAAGCACCGGCUAACUCCGUGCCAGCAGCCGCGGUAAUACGGAGGGUGCGAGCGUUAAUCGGAAUUACUGGGCGUAAAGCGCGCGUAGGUGGCUUGAUAAGCCGGUUGUGAAAGCCCCGGGCUCAACCUGGGAACGGCAUCCGGAACUGUCAAGCUAGAGUGCAGGAGAGGAAGGUAGAAUUCCCGGUGUAGCGGUGAAAUGCGUAGAGAUCGGGAGGAAUACCAGUGGCGAAGGCGGCCUUCUGGACUGACACUGACACUGAGGUGCGAAAGCGUGGGUAGCAAACAGGAUUAGAUACCCUGGUAGUC
rnacentral:rRNA from 1 species